UACGUAGGGUGCGAGCGUUGUCCGGAAUUACUGGGCGUAAAGAGCUCGUAGGUGGUUUGUCGCGUUGUUCGUGAAAUCUCACGGCUUAACUGUGAGCGUGCGGGCGAUACGGGCAGACUAGAGUACUGCAGGGGAGACUGGAAUUCCUGGUGUAGCGGUGAAAUGCGCAGAUAUCAGGAGGAACACCGGUGGCGAAGGCGGGUCUCUGGGCAGUAACUGACGCUGAGGAGCGAAAGCGUGGGGAGCGAACAGG
rnacentral:rRNA from 1 species